GACGUUAUUUUGUUCAAAAUGAAAUAAUUUUUUGCGACGUUUUUCAUAAAAACGUCGCAAAAGAUAAGCAAUAACGCCUUUUUGUAUCUCAAAACACCCAAGUGUUUCUCUCUGUCACCACCGUCUUCAUCAUCAUCUUCCCCUCUCUCCCUCUUGUUGCAUAUAUCUCAAAAGAGGAAAAAGAAAAAAAGGUAAAAAGAAAAACAACGCAAAUGGAAGAACCUCAAAACGGAAACGGAAAGUUGAAUACUAUCGCAGAGGAAGAGGAGGAGCCGGUUAUAGGACUAGGACCCGCCCCUCGAGCUCGACCGAAGCGCCCGCUCCAGUUUGAACAAACAUAUCUCGAUUCCCUUCCUUGAGCUAACAUGUAACUUUCUUCUUCUUCUUCUCAUUUCUAAUCAUUUAUUUAUUGGAAUUUUGUCGCUUUCUCAUGGUUUCCGUAGGGUUUAAUGAAAUUGUCUUCAGCCUUUUUUCAUUUUGUUUUUUUAAGUGAAAAAAGAAGCAAGGAGCAAAGGAACCAACAGAAUAAACCUUAAUUUCUUUGUACUGAAGUUGCGAAUAAAGAGCUCCAAGAGCUCAUGAUGUAUGCCUCUUUUUUGUGUGUGUGAUUUCUAGGUAUGAGAAAAGCUAUAUGCAUCGAGAUGUAGUUACUUAUUUUGCUGUAUCGUCCGCAGAUUUUUUUCAUCACUGGAAGUGUUGAUGAAGAAGAGAAACAAAACGGAUUCCAGUACUCGUUGCAAGUUUAUCAGUAAUUUUUGGGCUGGCUGUGGUUUUUAUCUCUGGUUUCUUCAUCUGGAGGAGGAGAAACAGUCGAGACAAAGAAAACAGCCAAGAAGUUCAAUUACUUGACUUGGUAAAUGAGCACUCAAGGGAAACUGUGACGCAGACCCAUAUUUUUUAUUUUGGCAUUUCAUGUAAUUGCUGUACAAGUAAAGUAAAAAGUAGACUGAGGCAGUUUUCAUUAUUGACUUUAUUGACUUUGAUUUAAUUAUGCCAUUAUUGACUUCGAUGCUGAAUUUCAUUAUUGCUGGCUCCUAUUUUUUCGGGAGAAAAAUAAGAACAAACCUUGGUUAUUGGAGGAUGAAACAGGUCAGGCUCAAUAUCAAGGUCAACUUGAAGGUUCACAGUCGGCAACUUAUCACCUGCUUAUGAUGCAAGGAAAGGAAUUUGUAGCUAUUCCUGCUGGUUCUUGGUAUGAGUGACAUUUAUAACGUUUGUGUCUUGGUGUCUAUUUCUUUGUUAUCAUUCAAAUUAACUAUUGUGAGAGAUAAGGGUGACACAAAAGGUCCCUAGCCCGUCUCU